rnacentral:rRNA from 1 species
CCUACGGGAGGCAGCAGUGGGGAAUAUUGGACAAUGGGCGAAAGCCUGAUCCAGCCAUGCCGCGUGUGUGAAGAAGGCCUUCGGGUUGUAAAGCACUUUCAGUGGGGAAGAAAGCCUUGGGGCUAAUACCCUCGAGGAAGGACAUCACCCACAGAAGAAGCACCGGCUAACUCCGUGCCAGCAGCCGCGGUAAUACGGAGGGUGCGAGCGUUAAUCGGAAUUACUGGGCGUAAAGCGCGCGUAGGCGGUCUGAUAAGCCGGUUGUGAAAGCCCCGGGCUCAACCUGGGAACGGCAUCCGGAACUGUCAGGCUAGAGUGCAGGAGAGGAAGGUAGAAUUCCCGGUGUAGCGGUGAAAGGCGUAGAGAUCGGGAGGAAUACCAGUGGCGAAGGCGGCCUUCUGGACUGACACUGACGCUGAGGUGCGAAAGCGUGGGUAGCAAACAGGAUUAGAUACCCGUGUAGUC